GGGUGCAAGCGUUAUCGGAAUUACUGGGCGUAAAGCGUGCGCAGGCGGUUUUGUAAGACAGUGGUGAAAUCCCCGGGCUCAACCUGGGAACUGCCAUUGUGACUGCAAGGCCAGAGUGCGGCAGAGGGGGAUGGAAUUCCGCGUGUAGCAGUGAAAUGCGUAGAUAUGCGGAGGAACACCGAUGGCGAAGGCAAUCCCCUGGGCCUGCACUGACGCUCAUGCACGAAAGCGUGGGGAGCAAACAGGAUUAGAUACCCUGGUAGUCAAGGGCG
rnacentral:rRNA from 1 species